AUUGAACGCUAGCGGGAUGCCUUACACAUGCAAGUCGAACGGAGUGGCGAACGGGUGAGUAAUGUAUCGGAACGUGCCCAGUAGCGGUGGAUAACUACGCGAAAGAGUAGCUAAUACCGCAUACUAUUGGAGCGGCAGAUAUCGGAUUAGCUAGUUGGUGGGGUAACGGUGCACCAAGGCGACGAGCCGUAGCUGGUUUGAGAGUACGACCAGCCACACUGGAACUGAGACACGGCCCAGACUCCUACGGGAGGAAGCAGUGGGGAAUUUUGGACAAUGGGGGAAACCCUGAUGCAGCCAUCCCGCGUGUGCGAUGAAGGCCUUCGGGUUGUAAAGCACUUUUGGCAGGAAGGCGGUACCUGCAGAAUAAGCACCGGCUAACUACGUGCCAGCAGCCGCGGUAAUAC
rnacentral:rRNA from 1 species